rnacentral:snRNA from 1 species
AAAUGUGAAGGUGAUCUGGCUGUGCCAUCUGUCACCCCAGUGAUGGACAGGGUUGAUUUAGCUGCCCUGGCUGACUGGGUGGGUGCCCCUCCCCCUUCACCAUUCCCAUACAUCCCAAACUUGCACAAUUAGUGGUGGUGGACGGGCUUCCCUGAUAGAGGCGGAUCUGUCUUCAGUCAAAGAUACAGAGUCACUGUGCUCCCCUGCUGGACCCUUCAAAUUCUCAAGGUCCAUUUGUAGGGGAACCCAGCAUGCUCAGGCUUCCAGACAGACAUAUCCAGAUGAGAUGCUGCUCUGUCUUUGUGU